rnacentral:rRNA from 1 species
AUUGAACGCUGGCGGCAGGCUUAACACAUGCAAGUCGAGCGAGCCGCGGACGGGUGAGCAAUGUCUGGGAAACUGCCUGAUGGAGGGGGAUCACUACUGGAAACGGUAGCUAAUACCGCAUACCAUCAGAUGUGCACAUAUGGGAUGAGCUAGGAGGUGGGGUAAUGGCUCACCUGGGCGCCGAUCCCUGGCUGGUCUGAGAGGAUGACCAGCCACACUGGAAGGGAGAUACGGGCCAGGCUGCUACGGGAGGCAGCAGUGGGCAUUAUUGCAGAAGGGGGGGAGGCCUGAUGACGCCAUGCCGCGAGUCUGAAGAAGGCCUUCGGGUUGUAAAGCACUUUAAGUGAGAAGGCGUUACUAGCAGAAGAAGCGCCGGCUAACUCCGUGCCAGCAGCCGCGGUAAUAC